AGUCGAGGGGCAGCAUGGGAGUAGCAAUACUUCUGAUGGCGACCGGCCCAUGGGUGCGUAACGCGUAUGCAACCUACCUGUAACAGGGGGAUAACACUGAGAAAUCGGUACUAAUACCGCAUAACACUAUGAGAGGCAUCUCUUGUGGUUGAAAGUUUCGGCGGUUACAGAUGGGCAUGCGUUGUAUUAGCUGGUUGGUAAGGUAACGGCUUACCAAGGCGACGAUACAUAGGGGGACUGAGAGGUUAACCCCCCACAUUGGUACUGAGACACGGACCAAACUCCUACGGGAGGCAGCAGUGAGGAAUAUUGGUCAAUGGACGGAAGUCUGAACCAGCCAUGCCGCGUGCAGGAAGACGGCUCUAUGAGUUGUAAACUGCUUUUGUACAAGGGUAAACCUGAAUACGUGUAUUCAGCUGAAAGUACUGUACGAAUAAGGAUCGGCUAACUCCGUGCCAGCAGCCGCGGUAAUACGGAGGAUCCAAGCGUUAUCCGGAUUUAUUGGGUUUAAAGGGUGCGUAGGCGGAUUGAUAAGUUAGAGGUGAAAUGUCCGAGCUUAACUCGGGAACUGCCUCUAAUACUGUUGAUCUAGAGAGUAGAUGCGGUAGGCGGAAUGUAUGGUGUAGCGGUGAAAUGCUUAGAGAUCAUACAGAACACCGAUUGCGAAGGCAGCUUACCAAUCUAUAUCUGACGUUGAGGCACGAAAGCGUGGGGAGCAAACAGGAUUAGAUACCCUGGUAGUCCACGCAGUAAACGAUGAUAGCUCGUUGUCGGCGAUACACAGUCGGUGACUAAGAGAAAUCGAUAAGCUAUCCACC
rnacentral:rRNA from 1 species